CCUCCCGACAAUGGCUUGCUAAUUUUUGACAUGUCAAAUGAGAGACGCCAAAAUGUAAACAGCAAGUGUUUGCGUGUGCGGUGAUUUUAAUAAACAUAAAAUCAACCACGGAAGCAUGAUUUAGUUGUGGUGGAAGCGAAAAAACAAUGCUUGGAGCAUUGAAUAAAGCCGAAUGAAAUUUCUAACCUUCACGCACGACGCCGUCGCUAGGUAAGGUAUGUUUAUGUGUAAUUACGAUCAUUGUUCCAUUUUAGGGUGUGAUUUGUGCAAUAUAACCGUUCCUGGCGGGGAUAGUCAAUAGUCGAUACCCUUUGCAGCUGUGAAGGGGUGCAGAAGAAGGGGCUCGUUAUCACCCUUCCCACACCCGGACGCUUUUUCCACGGAUGAAGAAUAUGUUCCUGGCUGUAUGCGCCAAAUCUAACGGUGAUCCGUAUCGUGAACGAAUCGGCAUAAUCGGUGCCGGUCCCCGGCGGUUUGUGAAAGUGGUGGUACACAACGGUAUAGAGUACGAUAGAUAACAUGCAACUGAUCUGCGAAGUGCGCCACCUGAUGCUGGCGUUCGGCAAGACACAGAAGGAGAUGGCAUAGGAGUUCAACGUGUGGAACAAGGACGUGCUAGAUUUGUUCCAGAUCGAGGACCGCGACGAUGAGGGAUAGUUGCUGGAGCUAAUUAGUGACAUAGCCAGAAGGGUACGGGCAAGUUGUCGGGGAUUGCCGCCCAGCGCCAUGCCGUUGUGGUGUUGCGAAUUGGUGAGCGGUCUUUUCCCGCUGCUUAUCUGCUCUGAAGGAUAGCCGUGCUUGGGCCAACUAUCAACUAGCUGGACCCAGCACGAAAUGGACCGCGCAAGGCUUCAUAUUGCUGCGCCAAGCGGCCA